rnacentral:rRNA from 1 species
CCUACGGGAGGCAGCAGUGGGGAAUUUUGGACAAUGGGCGAAAGCCUGAUCCAGCCAUGCCGCGUGCAGGAUGAAGGCCUUCGGGUUGUAAACUGCUUUUGUACGGAACGAAAAGGUCUUUUCUAAUAAAGAAGGCUCAUGACGGUACCGUAAGAAUAAGCACCGGCUAACUACGUGCCAGCAGCCGCGGUAAUACGUAGGGUGCGAGCGUUAAUCGGAAUUACUGGGCGUAAAGCGUGCGCAGGCGGUUAUAUAAGACAGUUGUGAAAUCCCCGGGCUCAACCUGGGAACUGCAUCUGUGACUGUAUAGCUAGAGUACGGUAGAGGGGGAUGGAAUUCCGCGUGUAGCAGUGAAAUGCGUAGAUAUGCGGAGGAACACCGAUGGCGAAGGCAAUCCCCUGGACCUGUACUGACGCUCAUGCACGAAAGCGUGGGGAGCAAACAGGAUUAGAUACCCUGGUAGUCCACGCCCUAAACGAUGUCAACUGGUUGUUGGGUCUUCACUGACUCAGUAACGAAGCUAACGCGUGAAGUUGACCGCCUGGGGAGUACGGCCGCAAGGUUGAAACGUCAAAGGAUUGACGG